rnacentral:tRNA from 1 species
AGCAGCGUGGCUCAGUGGAAAGAGCACGGACUUGAGAUUCAAAGGUCAUGGGUUUGAAUCCCGCCUCUGCCA